rnacentral:rRNA from 1 species
UACAGAGGUCUCGAGCGUUAAUCGGAUUCAUUGGGCUUAAAGCGUACGUAGGCGGAUGUGACAGGCAUCGUGUGAAAUCCCCUGGCUCAACCAGGGAACUGCUCGGUGAACCGCACGUCUUGAGGCAAGUAGAGGCUGUCGGAACGAUAGGUGGAGCGGUGAAAUGCGUAGAUAUCUAUCGGAACGCCGAAGGUGAAAACAGGCAGCUGGGCUUGAUCUGACGCUGGAGGUAACGAAAGCCGUGGGGAGCGAACGGG